GACGAACGCUGGCGGCGUGCUUAACACAUGCAAGUCGAACGGAAAGGCCCUGCUUUUGUGGGGUGCUCGAGUGGCGAACGGGUGAGUAACACGUGAGUAACCUGCCCUUGACUUUGGGAUAACUUCAGGAAACUGGGGCUAAUACCGGAUAGGAGCUCCUGCUGCAUGGUGGGGGUUGGAAAGUUUCGGCGGUUGGGGAUGGACUCGCGGCUUAUCAGCUUGUUGGUGGGGUAGUGGCUUACCAAGGCUUUGACGGGUAGCCGGCCUGAGAGGGUGACCGGCCACAUUGGGACUGAGAUACGGCCCAGACUCCUACGGGAGGCAGCGGUGGGGAAUAUUGCACAAGGGGCGGAAGCCUGAUGCAGCAACGCCGCGUGCGGGAUGACGGCCUUCGGGUUGUAAACCGCUUUCGCCUGUGACGAAGCGUGAGUGACGGUAAUGGGUAAAGAAGCACCGGCUAACUACGU
rnacentral:rRNA from 1 species